CACGCCCUAAACGAUGGAUGCUGAGUGUUGGGAUUUAUUCCCAGUGCUUCAAGCUAACGCAUUAAGCAUCCCGCCUGAGAAGUACGGUCGCAAGAUUAAAACUCAAAUGAAUAGACGGGGACCCGCACAAGCAGUGGAUCAUGUGGUUUAAUUCGACACUAAACGAGAAACCUCACCCAGGCUUGACAUCCCGAGAAUCCCCCGGAAACGGGAGAGUGCCCGCAAGGGAACUCGGAGACAGGCGC
rnacentral:rRNA from 1 species